rnacentral:rRNA from 2 species
UUUGGGAAGUCCUUGUGUUGCAUUCCCUU